rnacentral:rRNA from 1 species
AGACGUAGGUGGCGAGCGUUAUUCGGAUUUACUGGGCGUAAAGGGUCCGUAGGGGGUCUGUUAAGUUUGAUGUGAAAGCCCAUGGCUCAACCAUGGAAUUGCAUUGAAAACUGAUAGACUAGAGUACAUGAGAGGAGAGCGGAAUUGUAGGUGUAGCGGUGAAAUGCGUAGAUAUCUAUAGGAACGCCAAGGGCGAAGGCAGCUCUCUGGAAUGUUACUGACCCUGAGGGACGAAAGUUAGGGGAGCGAACAGGAUUAGAUACCCCGGUAGUCC